rfam:Schistosoma curassoni strain Dakar, Senegal genome assembly, scaffold: SCTD_scaffold0002949
ACCCAGCUGACGAGUCCCAAAUAGGACGAAAAGCACUUUGUCCUGGAU